UACGGAAGGCAGCAGUGGGGAAUAUUGCACAAUGGGCGCAAGCCUGAUGCAGCCAUGCCGCGUGUAUGAAGAAGGCCUUCGGGUUGUAAAGUACUUUCAGUCGUGAGGAAGGUGUUAAGGUUAAUAACCUUAGCAAUUGACGUUAGCGACAGAAGAAGCACCGGCUAACUCCGUGCCAGCAGCCGCGGUAAUACGGAGGGUGCGAGCGUUAAUCGGAAUUACUGGGCGUAAAGGGCACGCAGGCGGUUAAUUAAGUUGGAUGUGAAAUCCCCGGGCUUAACCUGGGAAUGGCAUUCAAGACUGGUUAGCUAGAGUCUUGUAGAGGGGGUAGAAUUCCAUGUGUAGCGGUGAAAUGCGUAGAGAUGUGGAGGAAUACCGGUGGCGAAGGCGGCCCCUGGACAAGACUGACGCUCAUGUGCGAAGCGUGGGGAGCAAACAGGGAUUAGAUACC
rnacentral:rRNA from 1 species